CACGUAGGGUGCAGGCGUUAAUCGGAAUUACUGGGCGUAAAGCGUGCGCAGGCGGUUUGCUAAGACAGGUGUGAAAUCCCCGGGCUUAACCUGGGAACUGCGCUUGUAACUGGCAAGCUGGAGUGUGGCAGAGGGGGGUGGAAUUCCACGUGUAGCAGUGAAAUGCGUAGAGAUGUGGAGGAACACCGAUGGCGAAGGCAGCCCCCUGGGCUAACACUGACGCUCAUGCACGAAAGCGUGGGGAGCAAACAGG
rnacentral:rRNA from 1 species